CUCGGAGUUUGAUCCUGGCUCAGGAUGAACGCUAGCGGCAGGCUUAACACAUGCAAGUCGAGGGGUAGAAGCAGCUUGCUGCUUUGAGACCGGCGCACGGGUGCGUAACGCGUAUGCAAUCUACCUUUUACAGAGGGAUAGCCCAGAGAAAUUUGGAUUAAUACCUCAUAGUAUGUGAGAAUCGCAUGGUUUUCACAUUAAAGUUCCAACGGUAAAAGAUGAGCAUGCGUCCCAUUAGCUAGAUGGUAAGGUAACGGCUUACCAUGGCGACGAGUGGGUAGGGGUCC
rnacentral:rRNA from 1 species